GGGAAUAUUGCACAAUGGGGGGAACCCUGAUGCAGCGAUGCCGCGUGGAGGAAGAAGGUUUUCGGAUUGUAAACUCCUGUCGUAAGGGACGAUAAUAACGGUACCUUACAAGAAAGCUCCGGCUAACUACGUGCCAGCAGCCGCGGUAAUACGGAGGAUGCGAGCGUUAUCCGGAUUUAUUGGGUUUAAAGGGUGCGUAGGCGGGCUGUCAAGUCAGCGGUAAAAUGGAGAGGCUCAACCUCUUCAGGCCGUUGAAACUGGCGGUCUUGAGUGAAUGAGAAGUAUGCGGAAUGCGUGGUGUAGCGGUGAAAUGCAUAGAUAUCACGCAGAACUCCGAUUGCGAAGGCAGCAUACCGGCAUUCAACUGACGCUGAAGCACGAAAGCGUGGGGAUCAAACAGG
rnacentral:rRNA from 1 species